rnacentral:rRNA from 1 species
AGCUGGGUUUAGAACGUCGUGAGACAGUUCGGUCCCUAUCUGCCGUGGGCGCUGGAGAACUGAGGGGGGCUGCUCCUAGUACGAGAGGACCGGAGUGGACGCAUCACUGGUGUUCGGGUUGUCAUGCCAAUGGCACUGCCCGGUAGCUAAAUGCGGAAGAGAUAAGUGCUGAAAGCAUCUAAGCACGAAACUUGCCCCGAGAUGAGUUCUCCCUGACCCUU